rnacentral:rRNA from 1 species
GAUGAACGCUGGCGGCGUGCCUAAUACAUGCAAGUCGAGCGAACGGACGAGAAGCUUGCUUCUCUGAUGUUAGCGGCGGACGGGUGAGUAACACGUGGAUAACCUACCUAUAAGGCUGGGAUAACUUCGGGAAACCGGAGCUAAUACCGGAUAAUAUUUUGAACCGCAUGGUUCAAAAGUGAAAGACGGUCUUGCUGUCACUUAUAGAUGGAUCCGCGCUGCAUUAGCUAGUUGGUAAGGUAACGGCUUACCAAGGCAACGAUGCAUCGCCGACCUGAGAGGAUGAUCUGACCCACUGGAACUGAGACACGGUCCAGAGUACGACGGGAGGCAGCAGUGGGGAAUAUUGGACAAUGGGCGCAAGCCUGAUCCAGCCAUACCGCGUGGGUGAAGAAGGCCUUCGGGUUGUAAAGCCCUUUUGUUGGGAAAGAAAAGCAGCAGGUUAAUACCCCGCUGUUCUGACGGUACCAAAAGAAUAAGCACCGGCUAACUUCGUG